AUUGAACGCUGGCGGCAUGCCUUACACAUGCAAGUCGAACGGCAGCGCGGGGCAACCUGGCGGCGAGUGGCGAACGGGUGAGUAAUAUAUCGGAACGUACCCUGGAGUGGGGGAUAACGUAGCGAAAGUUACGCUAAUACCGCAUACGAUCUAAGGAUGAAAGUGGGGGAUGCGCAAGCACCUCAUGCUCCUGGAGCGGCCGAUAUCUGAUUAGCUAGUUGGUGGGGUAAAGGCCUACCAAGGCAUCGAUCAGUAGCUGGUCUGAGAGGACGACCAGCCACACUGGAACUGAGACACGGUCCAGACUCCUACGGGAGGCAGCAGUGGGGAAUUUUUGGGACAAUGGGCGAAAGCCUGAUCCAGCAAUGCCGCGUGAGUGAAGAAGGCCUUCGGGUUGUAAAGGCUCUUUUGUCAGGGAGAAACGGUGAGGGCUAAUAUCCCUUUGCUAAUGACGGUACCUGAAGAAUAGGGCACCGGGCUAACUACGUGCCAGCA
rnacentral:rRNA from 1 species